UUCACUUUGGCAGAAAUAUACUAAAGUUGAAACAAUAUAGAGAUUUUUAUGGCACCUGUGCGAGAAUGACAUACAAAUGUGUGAAGCAUUUUAUAUAUAU
rnacentral:snRNA from 1 species